rnacentral:rRNA from 1 species
CCAGGUCCAGACACAAUAAGGAUUGACAGAUUGAGAGCUCUUUCUUGAUUUUGUGGGUGGUGGUGCAUGGCCGUUCUUAGUUGGUGGAGUGAUUUGUCUGCUUAAUUGCGAUAACGAACGAGACCUUAACCUACUAAAUAGUGCUGCUAGCAUUUGCUGGUUGCGCACUUCUUAGAGGGACUAUCGGUUUCAAGCCGAUGGAAGUUUGAGGCAAUAACAGGUCUGUGAUGCCCUUAGACGUUCUGGGCCGCACGCGCGCUACACUGACGGAGCCAGCGAGUAUAACCUUGGCCGAGAGGUCUGGGUAAUCUUGUGAAACUCCGUCGUGCUGGGGAUAGAGCAUUGCAAUUAUUGCUCUUCAACGAGGAAUUCCUAGUAAGCGCAAGUCAUCAGCUUGCGUUGAUUACGUCC